rnacentral:rRNA from 1 species
GUGAGGAAUAUUGGUCAAUGGGCGAGAGCCUGAACCAGCCAAGUCGCGUGAAGGAAGAAGGAUCUAUGGUUCGUAGACUUCUUUUGCAGGGGAAUAAAGUGCGGGAAGUGUCCUGUUUUGUAUGUACCCUGAGAAUAAGGAUCGGCUAACUCCGUGCCAGCAGCCGCGGUAAUACGGAGGAUCCGAGCGUUAUCCGGAUUUAUUGGGUUUAAAGGGUGCGUAGGUGGUUUGAUAAGUCAGCGGUGAAAGUUUGCAGCUUAACUGUAAAAAUGCCGUUGAAACUGUCGGACUUGAGUGUAAAAGAGGUAGGCGGAAUGCGUGGUGUAGCGGUGAAAUGCAUAGAUAUCACGCAGAACUCCGAUUGCGAAGGCAGCUUACUAAGCUACAACUGACACUGAAGCACGAAAGCGUGGGGAUCAAACAGGAUUAGAUACCCUAGUAGUCC